UAAACUCAUAAUCAGAAGGUUCUUAGGCUGAAUGGAGCAUUAUGGGCCAAGGAAGGCUGAUCCAAGGAAAGAAGCAAGGGUUUUGAAAACCCUAAGGCUUGGUGAGCCGCCGGCUGCCCAAGGAAAAGGAAGGGGGCUGCAGCUGGUUUUUCCUCUGAAUUAUGAGCUUUAAUGGGCCAUUAAUACUCUUUUCUUGGGCUGUAUCAGAUCUGAAACCAGAACCCUAGCCCACACAAGCCCUGGCCGCCACCUAUAGGCAAGGAUUAGAGUGAAAUCCUUAUUUUCUUACAUGCAAAACAGCACCAGAAAAUAUUUCACGUAAACACCAACCAAACAAGCAAACCAGCACCCUUCCCCUUGCUCCUAAGAGGCCUCCACUCGUCACCCUUGCACCACCAGCAGCCACCGCCCACCAAGGAGGAGGAGGAGACACGAGAAAGAGAGAAAAACCGCAAGGAAGGAGAGGAAACGCGAGAAGGAGAGGAAGCACGUGAAGGAAGGAGAAUUUUGGACAGCAGAGGAAGCUCUUUCUAUUCUUCACUUCUCUCCAUCAAAAUCCUGCUUCUUUUCAUCUAAAUUCAUUCAAAACCCGAGAUGGUCGUGAAGAUAAUGGCGAUGACUCAUUCUUGGGAGUUGAUGCUACGAACAAUUUUAUUGCUUAAAUUCGAAUGAACAAGUUUUGAUGUAAUCUUUAUUUUCAUUCAGGCCUUUGAUUCGUACUCUUUACAGUUGGUUAUUUAAAAAGUUUUACGAUGUUGGUUA